AUCCCAAAUCCCUAAAACCCAAAUUCGAAAUCUAAAACCCUAAAAAUUGAUAACAUACAAAAUCAGAUCAAAUGGAAAAAAAUGUGAUAUCGGAUUCGUGUGAAAUGCAAAAUCAAAAUAAAAUCAAAGAGAAAUGAAAACAAAAUCGGGACAUCAAAAAACAUUCCGUAUGAAAUGCAAAGAGAAAUCGUGAAAAGGCUUCCUGCGGCUAAAUUCAGAUCGGUUUCAAAAGCAUGGAAAUCAAUGAUCGAUAGCCCUCUCUUUAUUACCGAUUACAACAACAUGCGCCGACAUCAUCAUCGGAUUCUUAUAAGGUUGAUACAAGUCCUAUUAAUUGAUGUUCCAGAUCAACAUCACGAACCCAGUUAUAUGCUAAAGACAUCAAUUUAACAUCAGAACACUUGGAUGUAUAAUUAUAUAAGCCAAAUGAUAGAGGUGAAAGUUAAUCAAGAACAAUCAGGCUAUGGAAGUUAUAUUUUUAUGCUGUCUAGAGCAUUCUUUAGUCUUUUCUUUCUUUUGAAUAUAUGUAAUUGCCAACGUGCACUUCUAUUCCCUUUGAAACUGAAAUUUGUGAAAACGAUAUGAAUGUGAUUUUAGUAUUGGAUAGUUAAUAAAGAGUAUCUCUUUGUGUUA